AGCGACAGCCCCCACCGCCCGCGCCACAGCACCCGCAGCCGGGGUCCCAGGCGCUCCCAGCCCCCGCGCUGGCUCCGGACCAGCUGCCUCAAAACAACACGCUUGUGGCGCUGCCCAUCGUAGCCAUCGAGAACAUCCUCAGCUUUAUGUCCUACGACGAAAUUAGCCAGCUCCGCCUGGUUUGUAAAAGAAUGGACUUGGUCUGCCAGAGAAUGUUGAAUCAGGGAUUUCUGAAAGUGGAGAGGUACCAUAAUCUAUGUCAGAAACAAGUUAAAGCACAACUCCCAAGGUAUGUUGUGGGUGGCAGUGACAAUGAUGUGCAGUUGGUUUUGUUUGUUUCUUGACUUCUUUUUUUCAGUCUCAUGGUUUACAUAUUGCUUCCCAAGUUUUUAUAGCAAAGGGCACAAAGAUCACAAUGUGAUUUCUGCAGUGGUUUGUCCAUUCUCACCGUUUGUGAUCAACAUUUUACUGGAGGUUCUAGCCAGAGAAAUUAGGCAAGAAAAUGAAAUAUAAGGCAUCCAAAUGGGAAAAGAAGAAAUAGAACUCUCUGUUCACAGAUGAUAUGAUCUUGUGGAUAAGGAGUACACUAAUUGAUUAUUAAAGCUAGUAAACCAGUUCAGCAAGGAUAUGGGAUAUAAGAAUAAUAGACAGAAAUCAAUUAUAUUUAUAUACACUAUCAAUGAACAAUCCAAAAAGGAAAUUCAAAACAUUUUAUCAUAGUUUCAAAAA
rnacentral:sRNA from 1 species